rnacentral:lncRNA from 1 species
GUCUGAGUCUGAAAUAGAAGAGUGGACAGCCAUCGUCUCAGAGCUAGCUCCUCAGCGGUUUCAACCAACACAUAGCAGUUGACCAACCCGGUGUACAUUACACAGGGUCUGUUCUCGGAUGGCUUUGAAAUCGUGACCCUCCUACCUCACCCUCCAUAGGGACGGUCCAUCACACCAGACUGAGCGCAAAAAAUUACAAGGUCCCACCCUCCGGACAGCGUUUUGUUUAUGACAGCCAGGACCCAGUAGGUGAGUGAAUGAACAGAGGAGGUGAGGUUGUGAACCAGGUAAGCCAGAUCUAGGAAGGUGUGGUUUUGUGGGUGUGGAGUAGGGUAGUGCAUGACUGUUGCUCUUAGCAUGCCGGAGGCUGAAGCGGAAGGAAACCAAGGUCGAUGAUAGUCUGGGCUGCACAUUGAGUUCCUUUCUCAUGCCCCUCUUUCCUGCACUG